UACGAAGGGGGCUAGCGUUGCUCGGAAUUACUGGGCGUAAAGCGCACGUAGGCGGCUUUCUAAGUCGGGGGUGAAAUCCUGGAGCUCAACUCCAGAACUGCCUUCGAUACUGGAGAGCUCGAGUCCGGGAGAGGUGAGUGGAACUGCGAGUGUAGGGGUGAAAUUCGUAGAUAUUCGCAAGAACACCAGUGGCGAAGGCGGCUCACUGGCCCGGUACUGACGCUGAGGUGACGAAAGCGUGGGGAGCAAACAGG
rnacentral:rRNA from 1 species